rnacentral:rRNA from 1 species
CCCUUAGACGUUCUGGGCCGCACGCGCGCUACACUGACGAAGGCAACGAGCUUUCCCUUACCGAAAGGUACGGGUAAUCUUUUGAAACUUCGUCGUGCUGGGGAUAGAUCCUUGCAAUUUUUGAUCUUAAACGAGGAAUGCCUAGUAAGCGCAAGUCAUCAACUUGCGUUGAUUACGUCCCUGCCCUUUGUACACACCGCCCGUCGCUACUACCGAUUGAAUGGUUUAGUGAGGCCUUCGGAUCCGCGACUCGUUUGUGGAGAAGUUGGACAAACUCAGUCAUUUAGAGGAAGUAAAAGUCGUAACA